UCGCCUGUUUAUCAAAAACAUGUCUUCUUGAUAAUAAUUUGAAGUCUGACCUGCCCACUGAAUUUAAAAUUUAAAGGGCCGCGGUAUUUUGACCGUGCAAAGGUAGCAUAAUCAUUAGUCUUUUAAUUGAAGGCUAGAAUGAAUGGUUGGACGAGGUAUUGACUGUCUCAGUGUAAUUGGGAAUAGAAUUUAACUUUUAAGUCAAAAGGCUUAAAUUUAUUUAGAGGACGAGAAGACCCUAUAGAGCUUUAUACUUAAAUUUUAUUAUUUGUUUAGAAUAAUUUUUAUAAUAAUUGGUCAAGUAUUUUGUUGGGGUGACAGGAAGAUAAAUAAAACUCUUUUUAGUUUGUUUACAUUGAUAUAUGAAUUGUUGAUCCAUUAUUAUUGAUUAUAAGACUAAGUUACCUUAGGGAUAACAGCGUAAUCUUUUUCGAGAGUUCUUAUCGACAAAAAGGGUUGCGACCUCGAUGUUGGAUUAAGGGUAAUUUUGGGUGUAGAUGUCAAAGGGUUCAAAGUUUCACGUCUGCUCCCGAACUUGUANUAUCCGUUUCCAGGA
rnacentral:rRNA from 1 species